CUCCGCUCCAACUCGUGGACUUUAGCGAGGAAGCAGCGGAAGCGCAGGUUGAGGGUUUUCAGCACAUGGAUGUUGGAGCCCAGGUCGUUCCGCAGGGCGCUGGUCACCGCGCCGGAGCCGCUGCAGACCGGACCGGGCGGAGAUGCUGAGAGCACGGAAGAUGGGGGAACCAUCACUGUCUCCGCUAGAAGACUCUAACACGGGCUCCUGCAGCAAAUAGCAAACCCAAGAAGUCCUUUAAGAGGCACAGAGGGCUUCAUCUCCUGACGGAACCGGAGGUUUGACGCAGACCGAAAUAAUAAGCACCAGCUGCACUUCCCGUCACUCUCAUGUUUCUUGUCACCGUCUUUGUCCAGAUCUGCUGAUGCUGCCGGCCGACUGAGGAGGAGAAAUUGUCCGCCUUCUGUGUUUAUCAUUCCCCGGUUCACCACGGCUCUACCCAGUCUCCAUGCGGAGCGUUGGGGCAGGAUGCAGCGCCGCAGAGCCCGGCCUCUCCGUGGAUCAUGUUGCAAAGUGCUAAACUCGGCACUAUCACCUUAUCAGCCCCUCCCACGUCCCUCCCCAGGCCUCUCCCUCUGUCUCAGUGACGAAGGGACUCAGCCAAGGCUUAACGAUGCCAUGUCAUUUGGUUCCGUUACAUAUUUUAGAACAGUUGUUUUAAAUUGAAUUUAAAGUUUGAUUGCUUCUUCUUACAGAAACGUAAUAAACAUGCAUCUCUGAA